AGUGAACGCUGGCGGUAGGCCUAACACAUGCAAGUCGAACGGCAGCACAGGAGGGCUUGCUCUCUGGGUGGCGAGUGGCGGACGGGUGAGGAAUACAUCGGAAUCUACUCUGUCGUGGGGGAUAACGUAGGGAAACUUACGCUAAUACCGCAUACGACCUACGGGUGAAAGCAGGGGACCUUCGGGCCUUGCGCGAUUGAAUGAGCCGAUGUCGGAUUAGCUAGUUGGCGGGGUAAAGGCCCACCAAGGCGACGAUCCGUAGCUGGUCGGAGAGGAUGAGCAGCCACAAUGGAAGUGGGACACGGUCCAGACUCCUACGGGAUGCAGCAGUGGGGAAUAGUGGACAAUGGGCGCAAGCCUGAUCCAGCCAGACCGCGUGGGUGAAGAAGGCCUUCGGGUUGUAAAGCCCUUUUGUUGGGAAAGAAAUCCAGCUGGCUAAUACCCGGUUGGGAUGACGGUACCCAAAGAAUAAGCACCGGCUAACUUCGUGCCAGCCGCCGCGGUAA
rnacentral:rRNA from 1 species